rnacentral:lncRNA from 1 species
ACCAACUAUGUGGGUGAGUAGACGUGUUUCCAGCUCCACUCUGUUAUUUCCAUUACGAAGUUAAGAGAUGGUUCCUCUUCCCUUUUGCGACCUUUGUUCUGAAACAAACUUAAGAGCUUGUCGCAGAUUCAAGGUGAGGGAGGUGUCCGUCGACUGGCGUCAAGGCGUCGACUGGAUGAAGAACGAGCGGAUUCAGAUCUCCAGCACGAACUGGGACACAGAGGUCAAAGGAGCACACUCUGUGUUCCCACGCCUACGUGACCUGUCCUCACGGUGUCCGUUAAGACUCGAGUCAGGGAUACACACAUCGUCUCCAAGGCUACAAAGCAUGAAUUGGAUGUAAAGUCCAUUACAUUAUAACAGUCCCUCUCCAUAGAGCAACAUGAGGAAGUCUCUCCAAAUGCCAACAGUGUGUCCCGAAAUCCCAGAGCGGAGCUAACUAACGCCCACUGUUCGGGAGGAGAGGAUGGAUGGAGGAGAUUACCAAGCGUUCAGGGUUUCUGCUGGGCGCCACAGGGCGGACUGCCACCAGUCUCCGUCAUCCACACGGCGAGGGUGGGCGUGUGGAUUGUCUGGUGCCGGCCCGAUAGGCCCGAGCAGGAGCUGGAUGCAAUGUUUGGAGGCUGGCCACCCGGUUUCGGUUUGAACCACGCCCAUGAUACAGUUUGGCUUCUGUUCAGCAUCAAGCCUAGCUGAGAAUUAUGAGUAAAAUGGGUUCGCCUCACAAAAGGACGGUUGGUCAUUUUAUGUGGUCGGAAGCUCAAUGCUGCAAGAUGACAUUUACUUUAAUAUAGGGGAACUACGUUCUGUGACACAAACUCUGUUGCUUUGGGUAAAGAAGAAUUGCUGUUAUAUAUAUCAUUGCGCUAUGCCUAAUAUGCAGUAUAAUGAGUGGCAUCGUUUAAUUUUUUUGCUGCGCUCACAAUAAUAAAUAGCCUAGUGCCACCAGCAAAAAAACAUGGACAUAGUCUGUUUUUUCCUUGUUAUCUAGUCCAGAAC